rnacentral:rRNA from 1 species
GAUUAACGCUGGCGGCGUGCAUAACACAUGCAAGUCGAACGAUGAAACUUUAAUGAACCCUUCGGGGAGAUUUAAAGCGGCUUAGUGGCGAACGGGGGAUUAACGCGUGAUUAACCUGCCUUACACAAGGGGAUAGCCAUUGGAAACGAAGAAUAAUACCCUAUAAAACCAUAAAAUAACAUGCAAUUAUUGUCAAAGUGAUAGCGGUGUAAGAGGGACUUGCGUCUGUAUAGCUAGUUGGAGAGGUAAAAGCCCACCAAGGCAACGAUCAGUCGCCGGCUCGAGGGAGCGGACGGCAACACUAGGACAGAGAGAAGGAGCAGACUCCCACGGAAGGGAGCAAGGGGGAAGGUGGCACAAUGGGGGAGUGACGGAGGCAGCGAGGCCGCGUGAUUUAGAAGGCCGGCGAGUUGUAAAAUGCUUUUGUAUAGGAAGAUAAUGACAGUACUAAACGAAUAAGGCACGGCUAACUACGUG